ensembl:lncRNA MUC20-OT1 MUC20 overlapping transcript
CACCGCUGCAAGAGGGGAAGUUGCUACUGUGAUGAAUUCUGCCAUGUGGCACCAGACUGCCACCCAGACCACAGUGUCCUCUGCAACCCUGGUCAAAGGUGCCUACAUGCUCCUUCUAGCUUUGUUUCCCUGAUGUUCCUUGCCACCUGCUACUCCUCUCUGAGCUACUUUUCCAGCCUCCCAGGAAUGCCAUUCACCAUGGCUGUGAGGAGAAUAAAGAAGAGAGCCUGACUCCUCUUCUGAGGCCCCUUCCCCACCCUGAGCCAGCAGGAUCCACGGAGCAGAGGUCAUCUGUCCCCAGCUUGGCCCACUGAGGCCAGCAUGGCUGGGCCCAGGAUGCUUGUCUCUCAGCUCCCAUCCUGUGUACUUCCACAUUGGUUUAACCAGAGGAAAACUGAAAUGUACAAUUGUCAUAAACACAUUUAAAUGUGCGUAGAAUCAGCCAUACAAAUUGUGAAACAUA